rnacentral:misc_RNA from 1 species
AACUUUAAAACCCUGUCAAAAACACUACUCGUCUUUUUUACUCGAGUUGGAAGUUCCAAACUUCGCGUCAUCCUUGAUGAAACUCCACCAGAUAUAGGUAAGAGGGAUUGUGGUGGCAUGCCAAAGUGCAUGAGCAUCUACGAGUCCUUGAUAUGGAGGGAAGUCGUAGAUCUCUAGGAGCAUAGCGAGGCCACCUCCAACAACCACCGUCCACAACUUCCACCGGGAAGGAUGAUGGCUUAUUCCAGCCCAGAUUGACCAAAUUAGAAGUUGAGAAACAGCUAUCACAACACAAACUUUCAUGUUCCAUCCGUAGUCCAUUUGAUAGUUGUUCAGGUACAGUAUAUGAGUGGUGGUGAAGGCAAGCAAUGGAGCAGCAACCAGAACUCUCGUAGCCUCAUUCUUUACACUGAAACUUCUUAGUACUGAUACAAUCAGGGAAAAUCCAAGUAACGCCACAGCAGAUGAGUAGUCUAGCUUUUCUGUAAAAUCCAUGUCUCGACCGUGGAAGAUAGCACUCCAUAACCAUGAAUUAAUAGACAAGAACGCAUAGAUGUGCCACAAACUCGUGUAACUGUAGCAGGUCGUCUCAUCGGCAUUUGAUCGUAACUUGUAGUAAAUAAGCGUGAUAAAGGACAGCCAUCCAUGGAGAUGCAUUGCAAGGUUAAGUGCAGAGAAAGCAACAGAAACAGGCUCCUGAAGCCCAAAGACGCGUUUGAAUGGCCAUUUCCCAUGAUAUUUCACAGGCCCAAAUCCAUGAGUUGCUCGUUCUGUUUCUCUUUGAAUCAUGCAGUGAUACUGGCAAUCGCUUAGGCAGUUUGCUUGUUUCAGCCACAGGUAUAGAGGCUCUUUCAAGUACCAGUUGUCAUCAGAAGAAGAAUUAUUUAAAGGAGUAUUGCAAUGGCCGAAGCAUGUUUCUCCAGCACAUCCGGUCUCUUUACAUUGGCCAAAACAAGCCCUGUACAAAGGGUCAGCAUCUCCAGCACUAGCAUCAAAAGCUCCAACAAGACAAAAUAAAACUACCAAGAAAGUGAUCCAAUAACAAUCUGCCAUCUUGUUAGAUUCACAAAAGGAUACUCAAAUUUGUUUAUCAAUUAGCAAAAGG